rnacentral:lncRNA from 1 species
GUGUUACAGUUUCUUACAGUGUUGAGUAGAGUUGCAUGCUGUACAGGUUUGUAGCCGAGGAGCAAUAGGUUCUGUCAUACAGCCUAGGUCUGCAGUAGGUUGUCCCAUUUAGGUUUGUGUAAGGACACUCUUUGAUGUGUACACAUGAAGAAAAUUGCCUAAUGACACAUUUCUCCAAAUGUGUGUCUGUCAUUAAGCAACAGAUGACUGAUGUGAAAUGUCAGAAUAGGCCAAUCCAUAGAGAGAUUGUCUGGGGAUGGAGUAGGAGAUGGGUAAGCAGGAAUCAGGAAGACUGCUGUAGCACAGGGUUUCUCCCCCACUUCCCACCACUUUUUUCAAUAGAGACAGGGUCUUGCUCUGUUGCCCAGGCUGAAGUGUAGUGGCAUGAUCAUGGCUCACUGCAGCCUCUAACUCCUGGGAUCCUCCCACCUCAGCCUCCCAGGUGAGUGCCACCACACCCAGCUAAUCAAAAAAAUUUUUCUAGAGGCAGGGUCUCACUAUGUUGCCCAGGCCUGCAGAGAGUUUCUUUGGGGGGCAUUGAAAAUGUUCUAAAAUUAGAUUGUGGUGAUGUAAUUCAGUGUGUCUUUGAAUGAGUUUAAGUGUCAUGUCAAGUACAAUUGUCUUAUUCAGCUUAGAUUUUUGGAAUGUUUGAAGACAAACAUUGCCGUGGAGAUCACCUGGUAGCUUUCUGAGCAGGAGGCUGUGGACUGAGGGGAGCCAUCCACUCUGCCGAGAGCUUGAGAAAAUGAAGACUGAAAACAGAGCACUGGAGGUCGUUCAUACGCAAAAAUGCUUUCCCCUCGGAAUUGUCUCCAGCUCCUUCACCUCUUGGUUGUAGGUACAGACAGCAGAGACAAGAAGAGCCUUGAAGAGGCAGCCACACAUUGUGAUGAACAUCAAAUGGAUCCACGGCUCUGCGGAGGACCCAAGACAACUUGCUUGAAUUGUU